UUAGCGGCGGGCGGGUGAGUAACGCGUGGACAACCUGCCCUAUGCAGGGGGAUAACAUCCGGAAACGGGUGCUAAUACCGCAUAAGCGCACAGUACCGCAUGGUACGGUGUGAAAAGCUGAGGCGGCAUAGGAUGGGUCCGCGUUGGAUUAGGCAGUUGGCGGGGUAACGGCCCACCAAACCGACGAUCCAUAGCCGGCCUGAGAGGGUGGACGGCCACAUUGGGACUGAGACACGGCCCAGACUCCUACGGAAGGCAGCAG
rnacentral:rRNA from 1 species